UGAAACGGUUGUUUUGAAGUGGAAUCUUUUCUUUUAGUUAUUUAAAACAAAUUCUUACGGAAAUGGAUAUUUGCUGCAGAAUAUGCCGUCGUAAAGAGUUGAAGCAUUUCUUUCCCUUGAAUUAUCAAAGUGAUUAUAGUGACACGGUUCUGAGCAUGAUGCAGUCUAUGACAGGACUUGAGGGUGCACUUGGAGAUAAGUUACCACAACAGAUAUGUCGCAUAUGUAUGGGAAGCUUGGUAGCUGGGUACGAGUUGAGGCAACUCUGCAUCGAAUCGUAUACCUAUUUCCAAAAGACAAUUCAAACCGAUAACCAGAAACUACCCAGGGAAGAAACAUUGCCCUGCGAUGAAUUUGAUAACAAUGAUCUUGAGUCCUGCUUAACGCUAGGACAGAUCAAGUUUGAACCUUUCGUUGACGCUGAAGAAAUGGUUACCGAUUUGGUAGAAACGGACAAUGUGGGAUACAAAGAAAACGGAACUGAAGACAAAUUUUACUGCUGUUUUCCGAACUGCGGUGUCAAUUAUCAGUUCAAAGAACUACUGAUAGAGCACGCUGCAUCCGAUCAUCAAUUGGAAAAGAAAUCAAAUGCAGCUAAGUGCAAUGAAUCCGAAUUCUAUUGCAUCGUGUGUGCCAGAUCUUUCACGGAUGAGAUCAACCUGGUGGAGCACCGAAAUCGGAAGAAAACAGCAAUGUUCCACUGUUUGUACUGUGGAUAUCAAACGGAAUCCAAAGCCUUGUACGGGGAACAUACUCGAGCGCAUAACAAGAAAGAGAAAGUAUGUGAAUGUGGCUUCAAAACGACCCUCACAUUUAGCUUUAAACGACACCAGGCGAAAUGUGUACCAUCCAAACGCAAACGUCCAGUAAGGCAACAGAAAUGGAACGCACUUGAAGAGCACAUCGCUGAUGAUAAAACGAACGAUGAAAUGAUGGCUAUGGGAUUCAUUUUGAGUCGCCACACAAGCAUGUUUUAUUGUUGCAUUUCUCAUUGUGCCACCGUCUGCGAAACUCAGCAGCAAUUGAGUGACCACUUCCAGACAGCACAUCCUGAAGUGCGUGUGGAAAACAUGAAUAGUGAUUCGGGUAGCAGGAAUGUGGUGCGAUGCCCGAUUUGUUUUCAUGGACUGCCUACAAAAAAGGCGCUUCAGAUUCAUCUGGAAGAUGCUUAUGCUCCCACAUUUCGUUGCAAUACAUGCCGCUAUAAUUGCACCUCGAGAAAAUCUGCUAUUUUACAUGCUUCUACGUCUUGCGUGGCGAAAAUGCAUCGAUGCAGCUGUGGCUAUUCGACAUCCUACCUAGGUACUAUCAAGCGUCACAUACAGGCUUCGGGUUGUCCGCAGGAAGGUAGUACGCUAAAAUACGUGAGAACCAAAAGAAACAAAUCAAAUAAUCACAUUGGUCCGAGAAAGCAACUCCCUAAAUGUAAAUAUUGUGAGAAAUCUUUCACGACACUCGAGAAUCUACGAAGACACAUGGACUCAGAACUAUCCCUUGCGUUGGCAAAACAAGAAGCGCACGACGCAGGAAAGCAAAUUGAAGGAUCUGAGCAAAAGGAAUA